rnacentral:rRNA from 2 species
CCUACGGGAGGCAGCAGUAGGGAAUCUUCCACAAUGGGCGCAAGCCUGAUGGAGCAACACCGCGUGAGUGAAGAAGGGUUUCGGCUCGUAAAGCUCUGUUGUUAAAGAAGAACACGUAUGAGAGUAACUGUUCAUACGUUGACGGUAUUUAACCAGAAAGUCACGGCUAACUACGUGCCAGCAGCCGCGGUAAUACGUAGGUGGCAAGCGUUAUCCGGAUUUAUUGGGCGUAAAGAGAGUGCAGGCGGUUUUCUAAGUCUGAUGUGAAAGCCUUCGGCUUAACCGGAGAAGUGCAUCGGAAACUGGAUAACUUGAGUGCAGAAGAGGGUAGUGGAACUCCAUGUGUAGCGGUGGAAUGCGUAGAUAUAUGGAAGAACACCAGUGGCGAAGGCGGCUACCUGGUCUGCAACUGACGCUGAGACUCGAAAGCAUGGGUAGCGAACAGGAUUAGAUACCCUUGGUAGC